UACCUUUUGCAUCAUGAUUUAGCUAGUAAAACCCAAGCGAAGAGCACUUUAGUUUGACCCCCCGAAACUAAGUGAGCUACUCCAAGACAGCCUAUAAGUAGGGCAAACCCGUCUCUGUGGCAAAAGAGUGGGAAGAGCUUUGAGUAGAGGUGACAGACCUACCGAACUUAGUUAUAGCUGGUUGCCUGAGAAUUGGAUAGAAGUUCAGCCCCCCGGGUUCUCCCCUCACCACCGUCUUAACCCCACUUGACACCAAGAGAAACCGAGAGAGUUAGUCAAAGGGGGUACAGCCCCUUUGACACAAGACACAACUUUACCAGGAGGGUAAAGAUCAUAAUCAUAUUAAAGGUAAAAUGUUUUGGUGGGCCUAAAAGCAGCCAUCCCAAUAGAAAGCGUUAAAGCUCAAACAUAUCUACAGCCCCUCUUUAUCCUGAUAACUUAAUCUUAUCCCCCUAAUCUUACCGGGCCAUCCCAUGCAAACAUGGGAGUGACCAUGCUAAUAUGAGUAAUAAGAGAGCAUUCACCUCUCUCCCUGCACAAGUGUAAGUCGGAACGGACCCCCCGCCGACCCUUAACGGCCCCAACAAAAGAGGGUACUGAAUAAUAAACCAAACAACCAGAAAACUAUCCAACAAUAAACCGUUAACCCCACACUGGCGUGCCCCUAGGGAAAGACUAAAAGAAAGAGAAGGAACUCGGCAAACACAUUAAAGCCUCGCCUGUUUACCAAAAACAUCGCCUCUUGCAAAACUAAUGAAUAAGAGGUCCCGCCUGCCCUGUGACUAUAAGUUUAACGGCCGCGGUAUUUUGACCGUGCGAAGGUAGCGCAAUCACUUGUCUUUUAAAUGGAGACCUGUAUGAAUGGCACAACGAGGGCUUAACUGUCUCCUCUUUCCAGUCAAUGAAAUUGAUCUCCCCGUGCAGAAGCGGGGAUAGCCUCAUAAGACGAGAAGACCCUAUGGAGCUUUAGACACCAAGGCAGCCCAUGUUAAACACCCCUAAACAAAGGGCCAAACCAGAUGGCCCCUGCCCUAAUGUCUUUGGUUGGGGCGACCGCGGGGAAACACAAAACCCCCACGUGGAAUGGGAGCACCCCUCCUACAACUUAGAGCUUCCGCUCUAGUGAACAGAAUUUCUGACCAAUAAGAUCCGGCAACGCCGAUCAACGGACCGAGUUACCCUAGGGAUAACAGCGCAAUCCCCUUUUAGAGCCCAUAUCGACAAGGGGGUUUACGACCUCGAUGUUGGAUCAGGACAUCCUAAUGGUGCA
rnacentral:rRNA from 1 species